rnacentral:rRNA from 1 species
UACGUAGGGUGCGAGCGUUAAUCGGAGUUACUGGGCGUAAAGCGUGCGCAGGUGGUUUGUUAAGUCAGAUGUGAAAGCCCCGAGCUUAACUUGGGAACUGCGUUUGAAACUGGCAAGCUAGAGUCUGUCAGAGGGGGGUAGAAUUCCACGUGUAGCAGUGAAAUGCGUAGAGAUGUGGAGGUAUACCAAUGGCGAAGGCAGCCCCCUGGGAUAAGACUGACGCUCAUGCACGAAAGCGUGGGGAGCAAACAGGAUUAGAUACCCUGGUAGUCCACGCCCUAAACGAUGUCAACUGGUUGUUGGGCAACUUGAUUGUUCAGUAACGAAGCUAACGCGAGAAGUUGACCGCCUGGGGAGUACGGUCGCAAGAUUAAAACUCAAAGGAAUUGACGGGGACCCGCACAAGCGGUGGAUGAUGUGGAUUAAUUCGAUGCAACGCGAAAAACCUUACCUACCCUUGACAUGUACGGAAGUCUGCUGAGAGGUGGAUGUGCCUGAAAGGGAACCGUAACACAGGUGCUGCAUGGCUGUCGUCAGCUCGUGUCGUGAGAUGUUGGGUUAAGUCCCGCAACGAGCGCAACCCUUGCUAUUAAUUGCCAUCAUUAAGUUGGGCACUUUAAUAGGACUGCUGGUGAUAAACCGGAGGAAGGUGGGGAUGACGUCAAGUCCUCAUGGCCCUUGUGGGUAGGGCUUCACACGUCAUACAAUGGCCGGUACAGAGGGAUGCCAACCCGCGAGGGGGAGCCAAUCUCAGAAAGCCGGUCGUAGUCCGGAUUGUUCUCUGCAACUCGAGAGCAUGAAGUCGGAAUCGCUAGUAAUCGCGGAUCAGCAUGUCGCGGUGAAUACGUUCCCGGGUCU